rnacentral:tRNA from 2 species
UGCCGUUGUGGCGGAAUUGGCAGACGCGCUGGACUCAAAAUCCAGUGGUGGCAACACCGUGUGGGUUCGACUCCCACCGACGGCAUCC